rnacentral:rRNA from 1 species
UACGUAGGGGGCAAGCGUUGUCCGGAAUCAUUGGGCGUAAAGCGCGUGUAGGCGGCAUGGCAAGUCGGGUGUGAAAGCCCUCAGCUUAACUGAGGAAGUGUGCCCGAAACUGCCGUGCUUGAGUGCCGGAGAGGGUGGCGGAAUUCCCCAAGUAGAGGUGAAAUUCGUAGAUAUUCGCAAGAACACCAGUGGCGAAGGCGGCUCACUGGUCCGGUACUGACGCUGAGGUGCGAAAGCGUGGGGAGCAAACAGG